rnacentral:tRNA from 1 species
GGGUGAUUAGCUCAGUUGGUAGAGCAGCGGACUCUUAAUCCGUAGGUCGAGUGUUCGAGCCACUCAUCACCCACCA